rnacentral:rRNA from 1 species
GAUGAACGCUGGCGGCGUGCUUAGCACAUGCAAGUCGAACGAUGAAGCCCAGCUUGCUGGGUGGAUUAGUGGCGAACGGGUGAGUAACACGUGAGUAACCUGCCCUUAACUCUGGGAUAAGCCUGGGAAACUGGGUCUAAUACCGGAUAGGAGCGUCCACCGCAUGGUGGGUGUUGGAAAGAUUUAUCGGUUUUGGAUGGACUCGCGGCCUAUCAGCUUGUUGGUGAGGUAAUGGCUCACCAAGGCGACGACGGGUAGCCGGCCUGAGAGGGUGACCGGCCACACUGGGACUGAGACACGGCCCAGACUCCUACGGGAGGCAGCAGUGGGGAAUAUUGCACAAUGGGCGAAAGCCUGAUGCAGCGACGCCGCGUGAGGGAUGACGGCCUUCGGGUUGUAAACCUCUUUCAGUAGGGAAGAAGCGAAAGUGACGGUACCUGCAGAAGAAGCACCGGCUAACUACGUG